UGGGGAAUAUUGGACAAUGGGCGCAAGCCUGAUCCAGCAAUGCCGCGUGUGUGAAGAAGGCCUGCGGGUUGUAAAGCACUUUCAGUGGGGAAGAAAAGCCCUGGGUGAAUAGCCCGGGGUCUUGACGUUACUCACAGAAGAAGCACCGGCUAACUCCGUGCCAGCAGCCGCGGUAAUACGGAGGGUGCAAGCGUUAAUCGGAAUCACUGGGCGUAAAGCGCACGUAGGCGGCCGAGUCAGUCUGCUGUGAAAUCCCCGGGCUCAACCUGGGAACGGCAGUGGAUACUGCUUGGCUAGAGUUUGAGAGAGGGGGGUGGAAUUCCAGGUGUAGCGGUGAAAUGCGUAGAGAUCUGGAGGAACACCAGUGGCGAAGGCGGCCCCCUGGUUCAAAACUGACGCUGAGGUGCGAAAGCGUGGGGAGCAAACA
rnacentral:rRNA from 1 species